rnacentral:rRNA from 1 species
UACGUAGGGUGCGAGCGUUAAUCGGAAUUACUGGGCGUAAAGUGUGCGCAGGCGGCCGCGCAAGUCGAGUGUGAAAUCCCCCGGGCUUAACUUGGGAAUUGCGCUCGAAACUACGUGGCUGGAGUGUGGCAGAGGAAGGUGGAAUUCCACGUGUAGCGGUGAAAUGCGUAGAGAUGUGGAGGAACACCGAUGGCGAAGGCAGCCUUCUGGGCCAACACUGACGCUCAUGCACGAAAGCGUGGGAGCAAACAGG